rnacentral:lncRNA from 1 species
AGUCACCAUUUUGAAAGCAGAGAGAUGGGGACCUCACCAGACAGGGAACCUGCUGGUGCCUUGAUCUGGGACCUCUCAGGCUACAGAACUAGAGUCCUUUCUAUGGAGGAGACAUUAUGCUAGAAUUUUCACACAGAUUAUUUUAUUUAACUCCAAGAACUACUCCAUGAAAUAGGCAUGAUCAUCACCUUCAUUGUUUACAGAAAUAUAGAGGAGUCAUCCUUAGAUUUUAAAAGGUUUUGCCUGCUGUUGAACUACUUGGACUUCCAAAUCAUGGGCCCAUUGCAAGAAAAAAAAAGUGAUUACAGAAAAUAAUAUGCUUGAAAGUCAAAGACAGAUGAUGAUUUGCUGACCUGUCCUUCAGUGAUUGCUGAGCUUCAUUGUCCCAGACCAAGGCACUUAGUCCUGUUCAAGUACCUA